rnacentral:rRNA from 1 species
CCCGCUGAACUUAAGCAUAUCAAUAAGCGGAGGAAAAGAAACUAACAAGGAUUCCCCUAGUAACUGCGAGUGAAGCGGGAAGAGCUCAAAUUUAAAAUCUGGCGUGCCUCUGGCCGCCCGAGUUGUAAUCUGGAGAAGCGUUUUCCGCGUCGGACCGUGUACAAGUCUUCUGGAACAGAGCGUCAUAGAGGGUGAGAAUCCCGUCUCUGACACGGACCGCCCACGCUUCAUGUGAUACGCUCUCGAAGAGUCGAGUUGUGUGAGAAUGCAGCUCAAAAUGGGUGGUAAAUUCCAUCUAAAGCUAAAUACUGGAGAGAGACCGAUAGAGAACAAGUACCGUGAGAGAAAGAUGAAAAGCACUUUGAAAAGAGAGAUAAACAGUACGUGAAAUUGUUGAAAGGGUAGCGUUUGAAGUCAGUCGCGUUGGCCGACACUCAGCCUUGCUAUCUUGCUUGGUGCACUUCUCGGACGACGGGUCAGCAUCAAUUUUGACCGUCGAAUAAAGGCCGAAGUAACGUGGCAUCCUCCGGCGUGUGUUAUAGCCCUUUGAUGCACAUACCGCGAUCGGGAUUGAGGAACUCAGUGCGCCUCCAUUCGUCGUGGCUGCGCGGCUCACGUUAACGCGCUUAGGAUGCUGGCAUAAUGGCUUUAAGCGACCCGUCUUGAAACACGG